UACGUAGGCAGCGAGCGUUGUUCGGAAUUACUGGGCGUAAAGAGUGUGUAGGCGGUGCUCUAAGUUCGGUGUGAAAUCUCCUGCUUAACUGGGAGGGUGCGCCGGAAACUGGAGUGCUCGAGCGUGGGAGAGGAAAGCGGAAUUCCUGGUGUAGCGGUGAAAUGCGUAGAUAUCAGGAGGAGCACCUGUGGUGUAGACGGCUUUCUGGACCAUAGCUGACGCUGAGACACGAAAGCGUGGGUAGCAAACGGG
rnacentral:rRNA from 1 species